AUCUUUCUCAAUGAUUUCCUCUGGAGAAGAACCAAUUCCAAGUCAAAAAAAUCACUCGGAUGGAUGAACGGAAUUUGGAUGGUUUAACUUGUAGUCAAAAUGACGACGGGCCCAUUGUGUACUCUUUUUGGACAGAAGACCGAGAAGACACACCACCCUUCACUGUGAGAAGAUGCUUUAACACAAGUGGUCAGUUAAGGUAAGGCAAGGUAAGAGAAGAAUGAAAGCAAAGCAAAGCAAAGCAAAGAUGCUCCCACUAAAGCUGGUACGCUCUCUGGUCUUAGGAGAAACCAUCAACAACCCUCCUCCUCUCCUUUCCCACCAUCACCAUCACAAAGAUAUCAACACCAGCUACACCCACACCAGCAGCGACAAUAAUACAGACACAACAAAAACGAGAGCCAAGACGAAGACGAAGACGAAGACGAAGACAAAGACCCCACUACUUCUGUUCUUGCCAAAUAAAGAACUUGUUACAGAUACAUACAGACUAACCAAGAUUGCAAGAGACAUGGGCAUGGACUUAUAUCCAACACCAUCUCUUUCUCACAUUAUUUUCUCAUACCCAUCAUCAUGUACAUCACCAUCGACAUCGACAUCAACUCCAUGUACAUCAUCAGUAUCGUUAUCAUGGACAUCAACAUCAUCUUUGUUGCAUUUACCAAACAAUGCCAUUCCUUUACCAUUCCCUUCACUUUACUCUUCUUCUUUAACCCAUCUUCGCUCAUUUGUUUCACUCUCAAAAGGGUUGUUCAAGCUUGCGUUUAUCAACUCAAAACACACCAAUAAAGUUAUGGGUGGAUAUGAAAGCGACAGUCUUUAUGAUAGUAACUGGGAUUGUUGUUCAUUUUCUUUGUUUUGGAGGUUAACUGGUGAUAGAAUUGAUUCCAUGGAUAAAUUUUCAAGGGCUUUAGCUGGUGUUGGAUGGACUCUUUUCAAGACCAAGGAAAAUAACACACCAAGUGAUGGAAUUGGAGGCAGCAAGAUGGUGUAUUUGUUUAGGAAAGUGGACUCAAAGCCUGUUUAUGUGGUGUCACGAGGAAAUGGCGGGGAGUGUAGGAUAAGGGAAUUGAGGUUGCCUGCUUUGGAUUUUAGAAAUACUCCUUUGAGGAUCUUGCAUUACAUACUUCUCAUGACUGAUGAUAUCUUCUACCUUUCAUAACCGGACAAGGAGGGUGUGUCAUCAGGAGAAGUGUUCCUCGGAAUAAUGGAAGAGAAGAAUGGUGUGGUUCUUGUUGGUAACAAUCAAACAACACAAGGGUAGGGUGUGGGUUGGCAAAUUGUUGAUUCAAGAUAAAAUCAUAAUAUGGAAGGGUUGCCUGAUCCUUUUACGCUACUACUUCCCUGUGUUUCUCAUAUUAAUACUAUUUCUAGUUUUUAUAGACAAUAAUAAAGAAUCAAUCGACGUGAAGAUUGAAAAUGACGAGCUUUUUCAUCGAUACCUUGUAUGCGGAGCCAUGAACUUUGGUGUGGGUUUUAUGUCUACUUGCAGUCUGAUUGAUUCAGUGAUUUGCAUAAAGAGCUUUUCAUUGAAGCCACAAUGUUAUAGUACUGCUAAUAAUCAGGUGGUGGACAGGGUGGAGAGAGAGGGAGCCUGUAAUGGAGUCAUAAAUUGCAUGAAGGGAUGGAGGCUAUUUGUUCAUAGGACUUUGAAGUACAAUAACUAACAAAAUCUCCUACUUUUUUUUAUUUUUGUGCCACAGUUUAUUAUGAUGGAAAAAACUACUGCACUUGACAGGAAAAAAGAAAAAAAAUAUUGCCUUAUUAUUAUUAUUAUUACUGCUAAUUUCACCA